AGCGAACGCUGGCGGCAGGCCUAACACAUGCAAGUCGAACGGACCCUUCGGGGUUAGUGGCGGACGGGUGAGUAACACGUGGGAACGUGCCUUUAGGUUCGGAAUAGCUCCUGGAAACGGGUGGUAAUGCCGAAUGUGCCCUUCGGGGGAAAGAUUUAUCGCCUUUAGAGCGGCCCGCGUCUGAUUAGCUAGUUGGUGAGGUAAUGGCUCACCAAGGCGACGAUCAGUAGCUGGUCUGAGAGGAUGACCAGCCACAUUGGGACCGAGACACGGCCCAAGCUCCUACGGGAGGCAGCAGUGGGGAAUCUUGCGCAAUGGGCGAAAGCCUGACGCAGCCAUGCCGCGUGGAUGAUGAAGGUCUUAGGAUUGUAAAAUCCUUUCACCGGUGAAGAUAAUGACUGUAGCCGGAGAAGAAGCCCCGGCUAACUUCGUGCCAGCCGCCGCUGUAACAC
rnacentral:rRNA from 1 species